ACGCUGGCGGCAGGCCUAACACAUGCAAGUCGAGCGGAUGAAGGGAGCUUGCUCCUGGAUUCAGCCGCGGACGGGUGAGUAAUGCCUAGGAAUCUGCCUGGUAGUGGGGGAUAACGUCCGGAAACGGGCGCUAAUACCGCAUACGUCCUGAGGGAGAAAGUGGGGGAUCUUCGGACCUCACGCUAUCAGAUGAGCCUAGGUCGGAUUAGCUAGUUGGUGGGGUAAAGGCCUACCAAGGCGACGAUCCGUAACUGGUCUGAGAGGAUGAUCAGUCACACUGGAACUGAGACACGGUCCAGACUCCUACGGGAGGCAGCAGUGGGGAAUAUUGGACAAAGGGCGAAAGCCUGAUCCAGCCAUGCCGCGUGUGUGAAGAAGGUCUUCGGAUUGUAAAGCACUUUAAGUUGGGAGGAAGGGCAGUAAGUUAAUACCUUGCUGUUUUGACGUUACCAACAGAAUAAGCACCGGCUAACUUCGUG
rnacentral:rRNA from 1 species